CCUACGGGUGGCAGCAGUGGGGGAUAUUGCACAAUGGGGGGAACCCUGAUGCAGCGACGCCGCGUGGGUGAAGGAGCGUUUCGGCGCGUAAAGCCCUAUCGGCAGGGAAGAAGAUGACGGUACCUGACCAAGAAGCCCCGGCUAACUACGUGCCAGCAGCCGCGGGAAUACGUAGGGGGCAAGCGUUAUCAGGAUUUACUGGGUGUAAAGGGGGCGCAGACGGCAAUGCAAGCCAGGAGUGAAAGCCCGGGGCCCAACCCCUGGACUGCUCCUGGAACUGCAUGGCUGGAGUACAGGAGGGGCAGGCGGAAUUCCUAGUGUAGCGGUGAAAUGCGUAGAUAUUAGGAGGAACACCAGUGGCGAAGGCGGCUUACUGGACUGUAAAUGACGCUGAGGCUCGAAAGCGUGGGGAGCAAACAGGAUUAGAUACCCGUGUAGUC
rnacentral:rRNA from 1 species